rnacentral:rRNA from 1 species
GGAAGAGUAAGAAGAAAGUUUAUCAAGCUAGGGUUUCGUUGUCCCCCUUUCUUCUUCCCCGAGCUCCGCCUCCAAAUCAGGGGUGACUCUAGAUCGAAUCCAUCCAUUAGCUCGGGUUCUUACGCCUUCCCAGGCCCUCGACGCCCGACGCCGUCCUCCCAGGCCCCCGACGCCGCCAUCUCAGGCUCCCGACGCCGUCCUCCCCGGCUCCCGACGCCGCCAUCUCAGGCUCCCGACGCCGUCCUCCCCGGGCCCUCGACGGCAGCUGCUGGGACGCCCGACGCCGCCCUCCCAGGAUCCCGACUCCGUCCUCGCCGGGCUCUCGGCGGCACCUGCUGGGACGCCCGACGCCGCCCUCCCAGGAUCUCGACUCCGUCCUCCCCGGGCCCUCGACGGCAGCUGCUGGGACGCCCGACGCCGCCCUCCCAGGAUCCCGACUCCGUCCUCCCCGGGCCCUCGACGGCAGCUGCUGGGACGACCUCUCCAAGCCGCCGCACGACGCUGUUCCCUGGCCUUGCCGGACGACCCCGCGGCCAAGCUGCUGGCGUUCGCUCUUCCAAAGCUCCGCCACACAAAACUCCCUCCCUCAACCUUGAGGUCCUUCCCAGCCAGGCGGCCCGCGAUAUCACCCUGAUCGAAACUCACCACCGAAUGAGUUUGCUAAUAGGUUAAAGCUAUGGGUGGCCCGUCGCUGUUCUAGAUCAAUUGUUUAUGUGGAAUUCCGACCAAUAGACCCUGAUGCAGUGUUAGAGCAGUGGAAUACUGUACACCCAAUUCCGGCAGAUCCUGAGGGGGCAGCUUCACCACAGCAGGCUGAGGGGGCAGCAUCACCACAACAGGCUGGGGGUGCUGCAGCAGAACAUGCCAGGAGGGCGGUGGAAAGUGCAAGAACCCUCUCUUGCACUGGUUCCUUUGUGCAUACAGACGGAAUUGACCCCCACCAUUAUGUAUUGACUUCUGCGCAUGCUGUUGCUCCAAUUUUCACCAGCAAUGUACCAAUGACAGCAUGGGACCUUAGUCACUUCUACGAACCACAUGUUCUUUGUUACCACCGUGAGCUGGACCACCAGAAUGGGCACGACAAUGUGAGGGUUUUCGUAAGAGGAUGGGUGGCUUUCUUGAGCUGCGAAAAUGAUCUGCUAAUGAUUCGCGUCACCCAACCCCAUAUGGAGGGGUACUGUCAGCAAGAUCAUCAGCCACUAACAUUUGCUUCUUCAUUUCCAAGACUCCUGAAUGAUGUGGUGAUGGUUUCAUGGCCAGAAGUUGGGAGAAGAUUGGCCGCUGUUUCUGGGGAGGUCUCCUACCCAAAUCGCCAUAUUGAUCUUUUAGAUGAAGUUAAUGUGUUUGGAUUUACUAUGGAACUCUCUGAGGUGAAUAUCACAUCGGAGAGUGGAAGUUUAGGGGCACCGUUACUUGACGGCGAGGGCAAUGUGGUUGGAGUACUGCAUGGUGGGAAUGGGCGGUUCUCCUUUUUCAUCUCUCUUGGUGACCUCAGGGAAGUUCUUAAUCAGUGGGGUUUCAUUCUUGCAGUUCCUGCUUAAGCUCCGCUGAAUCUGUCAAUUGUCUGUUCCACUUUGACUAUGCUAUGAUUGAAUUCACAGAACUUUUAGGGGUGGUUUCUAGGAAUUUUAAAUUGCUGCUGUAUCUUUACAAAUUGGAGUAGCUUUUGUUGAUUUUUUUCCUUGCAGUAAUCUAAGACAAUGGAUGUGGAUGGACAUUGAACAAGCAGACAUAUGUUUUCUGAAAUUCCUGUUAUGAAUGGAAAUUGCAAAGACAUUUGGACCUCAAGUUAUGAAAAAACAAUUCUAGGGAUAACUGAAGUUGCUAGUAUGAAUAAAGACACAUGAAUUUGCAUUUUUCUUUACCACAUGUAAGCAUAUUGCACCACUUCGUUUCAAUAGCAGAGGUCACGGGAUACUAAUAUAUAGUGUUUAGUUAAGUUCUUGUCUGUAGAAGCAUGAGUGUUGGGUUGGCUGGCCUGGGUUUCACCACCAACCAUUGUGUAAGAAUGUACUCCCUCCGUUCCUAAAUAUUUGUCUUUCUAGAGGUUUCAAAUGGUGACUACAUACGGAACAAAAUGAGUGAAUCUACACUCUAAAAUAUGUCUAUAUACAUCCGUAUGCGGUGACUAUUUGAAAUCUCUAAAAAGACAAAUAUUUAGGAACGGAGGGAGUAGAUCGCAACCAUAUCAAAACUGUGGGAUGAUCUUUAUUAAUAAAUUGUUGUCAAGAGUUGGGCUAAAACAAUUGUGAUGUGAACCCUCUUCUCUCAAAUUUAUUCACUUGUAUUGCGACCCAUUUUCAACCUAGUAUAGUAAUACCAGUAAGAGCUGCUUCUGAAGUGUCUGUCAGCCUAACACACACCAGUCUAUCGGUUAUGAGGUACUUCUCAUGGGUUCACUUGGUGAGAUAAAUUUGAUUAUAUGGAAGUUUGGUGAAGGCAAAACCAGAAUCAAUUCGAGGACAUGGCUCCAGGUUAGUACUUUACUACAGCAGGCCGUAAGAAACAACACCUUUCCUUUUGAAUUUCUCAGCCCCCUGCACCUCCACAGCUGCAUCAACCUCAAGACUCAUAUGCUUGUAGAUAGCCUGUUUAGAGCAAACAAGGAAUCAAGAACGAUUUGAUCCUCACAACUCAUAAGCUUGUAGACAGCCUGUUUAGAGCAAUUAAGGAAUCAAGAACAAUUUGAUUCACAAAUUCUUAUUUGGCGUGCGUGCACUGCACUGCUUAGCAGUGUGUGGCCCCCCUUUUUAGGGUUGUACUCGGACUGUGGGGUUGCACUUUCAGAGGUCAUUGUCUCCCCAUUUUAUUUCCGCCCUUGCAACCGCUUGGUCUGCUUCAAGGUGGAGACCAAGGCAAUCCAGCUCUUGUGGUUGGUGCUAGCCGAGCUCGCUAUCUCAAUGAGCCGCCCAGAGACAUGGAGUGAAGGGGGAUUGUUCUUAGGGUUUGGUGAUAUCCGUUGGAUCCUUUGUGCGAGAAAGCAAAUCCAAGACGAAACCCUCAUGUGUAUGGUUUUGGCAUUUGUGCUCUUAAGUUCAAUUGGGGCAAUUUUGCCUUUUGAUUUCUUCUAUAGAUUUGUUUCCACAAUUCACUUUUGUCUGCCUGAUUCCUUGGUUCUAUGCAACCAAGUCCAGGUUAGUCAAUUGCCCCUAUCUCGCUGUUAUUAUUUUUUUGUUUAAUUGUGUUAUUGGUGAUGUGGUUUUUCUUCAUUGUUUUUUUUCUAGCUGUUCUCUUCUAAUUUGUGUGAUUUUCUUCAGUAGGCAGCCAAAUUCAAGUGAGUGGAUUCAGCUGUUCAAGUAUACUCCAUAAUACUGGAUUUUAUUAGAAAAAGAUGAGUAUCAGUGAUCGGAAUGAUUGAACUGCAGUACACUGCAAAGAAAUUUGGAUUACGAGAAGGGCAUAUAUCAUGUAAAAUUUACUCCCUCCGUUCCUAAAUAUAAGUCUUUUUAGACAUUUCAAAUGGACUGCAACAUACGGAUGUAUGUAGACAUAUUUUAGAGUGUAGAUUCACUCAUUUUGCUCCGUAUGUAGUCACUUGUUGGAAUCUCUAGAAAGACUUAUAUUUAGAAACGGCGGGAGUACAUAUGUUCGUCACAUUUGUUGUCCACUCAUUGGGUUCCGUUCAAUCAAUUGUGUGAUCUAUGCUCUGUGCAGUGCAUAUGCGUGCUAGGUUUCUGGCCGUGCUUAAAGCUGUUGAUUUUUUUUAUUAAUCGCAUUUAGCGGCGAGGGGAGUUUUGGCUCUCGGGUCCAGAUGGACCCGAAAUCUCUGCCACUCAUAGAUGCGUCGCGAUCUGUGCCAGAGGUCAAUGUCACGGCGAUACAGAAUUCUGAAAAGAUUUAUACGCUGGCCUGUCUGACGCACAUACAGACGGUGGGUGGGUCAGAGUUUGACGGCCGUCUCCUGGAUAACGCUCGCUACACACCUGUACUCUGGGCGCCUGGUACAGGUGUCUGGUGUUCAUGGCGAUGGCCGUCGGUAUUGAAAUUCUUGUGAAUAAGCCAGGGUCGAGCUCGGCGGCGCCGGCAUAGAGGUCAGACGACGAGGCCGGCCGGAGGGGUUGCGCAGCAGCCUGAUGGAUCAAAGAACGCUGGCGUUGAAGAUGGCGGCCGACUUCCCCGUAGCUCCAGUGGACAGGUUACAUAUUUUCGCGGACGAGGCGUGCAGCGCUGCAAUUUUGAUGGAGAUGGUGCAGGCGGUAGGUCCGGCCGAAGUUCAUUCAGUCGGCGGAUCUAGAUGGGGAAUGGUUGAUGCUGGGGUCAGCGUUGUGGCCGGAUUCAGCGGUGCAGCGUACGGCGAGCAAGUCAGGGUGGAUGCCGGAGGUGUUGUGGUGUCUGAUUUGAAUGAGAGCGAGGAGGAUAACGCUGAUGCAUUUGAGCAAGGAGCGCAAGUGGAUGGGAUCCACGCCAUGGAUUCUGUGAUUGCAGACCAAGCGGAGAGUGAAGAUGCUGCUUCUGUACAUUCUACAGGGAAGAUUGAUCCACAAGCCCCAGGAUGGACAAGAAGGGUUAGGGUUGGGAAACAACCACCUGACCGCGCACCAUGCCUGGACAGGGGAUGUGCACUAGAGCAGACUAUCAGAGGAAAUGCUGACAAGCUAGGACCAAACGUGAUUGAGCCUGAGAUGCUGAUCCUAAACCUCUGAAAUGUUCGCACAUUUUUCGCAGGCAAAACAACCUAUUGCGGUACUCCUUCGUGAACAAAAUGCCAGAGCAAUCUGCCAUGUUACUACUGCGCGCCAUAACAUUCAGACUGACAUGGUGAACUUCACAGACAAGCUCAUGGCAACACUUGCAUCCAACUGUACUUGUUGUGCUGCUAGGGGUUUCUCAGAUUGCCCUUUACGAAUGUGUAAUGCCAAUCCAGCAUCCAAGGCCACCACGGCACCAGAAGAGGCUGCCUGCCCGCCCAGUGCUAACCUACCGACCAUUUACCGAACCCCCGUCUCCACCAAAAUCCAUGGUGUCAGGCUUGAACUCUCUGAAAGUGAAGGCGAAAGUUUUCUCAAAGACUGAAAAAUGCUAAACGGCUGAGGCAUCAGGCUCAAGUUCCUUUAAACAACAUCCAAGAUUGCCAAAACACCUAGCACCGAAUCUGUUACUGAAUUUGGAACAACCGAAGCCAUUUGUUCUGCUGUCCAGCAUUAUGCCCGCUGCAUAUCAGUCUCUGUUAAGGAUAUAUAUGCAGACUGCCAGAUCGACGAACCAUCACUGGUCCUUUUUGGUGUCAGCCAUGUCAGCAUACCUAAAAGGAAGUAUAUAUCGGCAAGGAGUUACGCUACCAACCCAUGGUUUGCAGGUCGCCCAGUCGUUCCAGCUCCUACUUCCACUGCCGAACUUCUCGAAUCUCACUUCGCAUCAUUGUCUGUGAAACACCUUUCAAGGAAUUGGAUACUGCAUAAUGACCCUAGGUUCAUUCGAGUUACAGGGGAAGAGAUAAAAGAUCAGCUCCUUGGCGAUGCCAUGGUCGACCACGAACUUGGAUGUAUCAUUUUGGUCGACCACGAACUUGGAUGUAUCAUUUUGCAGCGCCAGAAGCAGCUUGAUCAUGAAUCAAAUCCUGAUGUACAAUAUCUUAACCACCGACACAUCCUAGAGGUUGAUUUCUCGACAGUUGCUCUAUGUGGCACAAGUAUUUCCGACUUCCUAGAGGUCCAGAACCAAUUCAUUGGCCCAAGUGUCUACCAUGCCAUAGAGGCCUGCCAGCUGUUCUACGUACCAGCUAUACUACGCGACGGAUGGGCAAUCCAAGUUUUUGAUCCUUCAGUCGGUCCCAAAGGAUGCAGCCAGGAUCAGCAGGCUCGACACGAGCUUAUUGCGUCGUGCUUACAUAAUGCAUUGUUCGGGUGCCUGCAUGCUGGGUGGCCAACACGAAAGGAUAACUGGUCUACCAUUUCCCCUGUUUUAUGGAUACCACAAUUACCAGGUUUCCCCUUUGCGUUCCACCUAGAAUUAAGUUCGUUUCCACAUCAAUAAGAACUGCCUAGCACACCACUAAUCCAAACUUUCGUCAUGCACAUCAUUAGGUACCACGAUGGAGAGAGUAUACCGAUCACCAAGAACAACCUUGUGAAAACUAAAAGUACAUUCUGCAAGAAGUUAUGAAGCUCCAGGGGAACAGUUCAUCAUUGCCAGCCGAUGCACUAUGGUCAGUUCAUGCCCCUACCGAUGGUUAUGAAGCUCCAGGGGAACAUUUCAUGCGACCCAUUUAGCGUGCCCACUACGGACAUUCAAUGAAUAUUCAUUUUGUCAAUCCAUGUUGUAUCGCUAUACAUGACUAAGUGUGUAUCGUACAUUUCCUCCAAAACCAUCUACCUAAAUGGACAACCUAUUAUAUUUUUCAUGCGUUAUCAUUCUAGACCUCC